rnacentral:tRNA from 1 species
GUUAAGGUGGCAGAGCCUGGUAAAUGCAAAAGACCUAAGCCCUUUUACCCAGAGGUUCAAAUCCUCUCCUUAACU